UAGGCAGUUGGCGGGGUAACGGCCCACCAAACCUACGAUGGAUAGGGGUUCUGAGAGGAAGGUCCCCCACAUUGGAACUGAGACACGGUCCAAACUCCUACGGGAGGCAGCAGUGAGGAAUAUUGGUCAAUGGACGAGAGUCUGAACCAGCCAAGUAGCGUGAAGGAUGACUGCCCUAUGGGUUGUAAACUUCUUUUAUACGGGAAUAAAGUGAGCCACGCGUGGCUUUUUGUAUGUACCGUAUGAAUAAGGAUCGGCUAACUCCGUGCCAGCAGCCGCGGUAAUACGGAGGAUUCGAGCGUUAUCCGGAUUUAUUGGGUUUAAAGGGAGCGUAGGCGGGUUGUUAAGUCAGUUGUGAAAGUUUGCGGCUCAACCGUAAAAUUGCAGUUGAUACUGGCGACCUUGAGUGCAACAGA
rnacentral:rRNA from 1 species